rnacentral:rRNA from 1 species
GACGAACGCUGGCGGCGUGCUUAACACAUGCAAGUCGAACGGAAAGGCCCUGCUUUUGUGCUUUGCUCGAGUGGCGCACGGGUGAGUAUCACGUGAGUAUCCUGCCCUUUACUUUGGGAUAACUUCAGGAAACUGGGGCUCAUACCGGAUAGGAGCUCCUGCUGCAUGGUGGGGGUUGGAAAGUUUCGGCGGUUGGGGACGGAAGCGCGGCUUAUCAGCUUGUUGGUGGGGUAGUGACUUACCAAGGCAUGGACGGGUCGCCGGCCUGGGAGGGUGACCGGCCACAUAGGGACAGGGAGAGGGCCCAGAGGCCAACGGGGGGCAGCGGGGGGGAAUAGAGCAAAAAGGGCGGAAGGAGGAAGGAGGAACGCCGGGUGCGGAAUGACGGCCGUCGGGUUGUAACGCGCGUGCGCCUGGGACGAAGAGUGAGUGACGGUAAUGGGUAAAGAAGCAACGGCUAACUACGUG